AAAAAACCCUGCUGGUCUUCCUUUAUUCAUAGACAUACUGUAGAUCUGCGCCAUGCAACAGAGCAGCACUAUGUUAUGCUGAGCUCAAUUCUGGACAAGGCAGGACAUUUUGGGGAUGUGGACUAUUCAAAAACAUUCUGGUCACAACCUUUAUUUGACUGAUCUGCCAAUCACAUCUUCUGUACAUUUUGGGCAGGAUUCCGUCUGGCUAUAAAUCUACACUUGACAGACAAAAGUUUGUGGACACCUGGCCAUCGGAUCGAUUUUGGAGUGUGGUUGUGGAGAUUUGUGCUCAUUAAGGUGUUAGAUCGGCAUCCACUCAAGAUCAUCUACACCAACCCAUGUAAACCAUAUCUUCAGAACUGGCUUUGUGCACAUGUGCAAUAGGUUUGAGUCUCCUAAGUUAAGUCAAGGGAAAACUUUUCUACAAAUUUUGUGUUUCCAACUUUGUGAUAACAGUUUGGGGAAGACCCUCAUAUGGCUGGAAAAGUCAAGUUUCCCAAAAUGUCCAUAUUAUCCAUCUAUCCAGAUGAGAUUAGAGAAUUUUGGUGUUCGAGUAUAAAUAUGUGAAGUGAAGCUAAUGUUUAAGAGGAUGAAGAGUAAAAAGUAGUAACUGUUA